rnacentral:lncRNA from 1 species
UGAGACCUGUGAUUUUGGUAAUUGAUGGUAGAAGAGAUUUGCAAAUGUGACUAAAUAAGGCUCCUGAUACAGGGGGAGCUCAUACCAGAUUAUCCAAGUGGGAAUUUAUUUAAAACAAAAUUUAAGCACAGGAUCUUAUGUAACUCAAGCUGGUCUUGAACUCCUUAGUAACCAAAGAUGACUUUGAAUUUCUGAUUCCUCCUGCAGGCUCCUCCUGAGUGCUUGGAUUACAGGCAUGUACAACCUUGUCUGAUUUUAUAAGGUGCUGCAGAUCGAACCCAGGACUUUGUGCAUGCUACACAGGUACUCUACCAACAGGGCUACAGCCUCAGCUAGGAGUAGACUCAUAAGAAGGAGACAGGAGAGCCAGACUCAGCAUACAUUGUGACUAUGGAAGCAGAAAAGGACCUGUGACAAUAGUACCACAGAUCAGAGUGAUGUGGGCCUGCUCUGGGUUGCAUGUGUCACCUGCCCAAAGGCUCUCAGUGUUAAAAGUUUGGACCCCGGCACAGCAUUCUUGGGAGGUGAAACAUGCACUUUUAAGAAGUGAGGCCCAGUGGGAACUCCUUUGGGAUUCCUUCUGCUUCCUGCUCAUGAGGUGGACUCUGUUUUGCCACAAACUCCUUGCCAUCACCACCCGGGACACUCACUGGAGGCUCAUCUGAUCUUGGACAGAAAUGCCCUAAAUUGCAAACCAAGAUAAAUCUUUUUUCUUUAUAAGAAAAUUAUCUCAGAUAUUUUGUCAUAGUGAUAGAAAGCUGACUAGCACAUAGGCCAAGAGCCAAAGUAUGCGGGUGACCUUUGGAAGCAGGGAAAGGCAAGGAAAUGGAUUCUCCGCUGGAGUCCCCAGAAGGAACACAGCCUUGCUGAUUCAUUUUGCUCUUCUGACAUCUAGGAGCUAACACGUUUGUGUCAUUUUAAGCCUCAAAGUUCAGGGGGAACAUAUUACAAGAGCACGAGGGAUUCUACACUGCUUCAAGAGCAGCUGAUGCCUGAUGGGUACAGAGCAUUCCAGAAGGUAAUGAAGGCAGCUGGGCUGAUUCACAGCUUCCUGGGGUGGUUCUUCGCCUCAAGAGCACCUGGGGGCUGUGUGCAACUGCAGGUGGCUGGCCCUGCCUCCAGGCUUUCUGAUACAGGAGAUCUGGCAGAAGAAGUCCAAUGCUGUGCAUUUCUGGUAAGUUCCCAGAUGAGGAGACUGCUGCAGGCUUGGGCUGUCCAUGUUACAGACAACUAAGUUUGAACCAGCAGUACCCCUUUAGCCACAGAUUUGAAAUUACCUUUGAUCAAUCACAAUUGAAAUAUAUUGAGUGGAAAACGCUAGAAAUAAACAAUUCAUAAAUUUUUUAUUUAAUAUUGUUAUAA